rnacentral:rRNA from 1 species
GACGAACGCUGGCGGCGUGCUUAACACAUGCAAGUCGAGCGGUAAGGCCCUUUCGGGGGUACACGAGCGGCGAACGGGUGAGUAACACGUGGGUGACCUGCCCUCAGCUCUGGGAUAAGCCUGGGAAACCGGGUCUAAUACUGGAUAUGACUCCAUGACGCAUGUUGUGGGGUGGAAAGCCUUGUGCGGCUGAGGAUGGGCCCGCGGCCUAUCAGCUUGUUGGUGGGGUGANGGCCUACCAAGGCGACGACGGGUAGCCGGCCUGAGAGGGCGACCGGCCACACUGGGACUGAGACACGGGCCCAGACUCCUACGGGAGGCAGCAGUGGGGAAUCUUGCGCAAUGGGCGAAAGCCUGACGCAGCGACGCCGCGUGAGGGAUGACGGCCUCGGUUGUAA